CCCAAGACUAGAGUCGCAUCCUGACAUAGUUCUUGUCCUGCUGUGCUGGAGUUCUCGGAGAGAAUUUGCUGGUCUUUUUUUUUUUUUUUUUUAAGAUUUUAUUUAUUUGAGAGAGAGACAGAGAGGGCAUGA